GCCUGCUUAACUCAGCGGUAGAGUAGCUGUUUUGUAAACAGCAAGUCCGCGGUUCGAAUCCGCGAGCAGGCUCCA
rnacentral:tRNA from 1 species